rnacentral:lncRNA from 1 species
AUGGUUCAAAAUAUGUACAAACUGAGUACGCACUGUUUCUCACACAACACAAACACUCUUCUCGUGUCUCUCUCUCUCUCCAGGGAUAGUACCAGGUUUUCCUCAGGGGGAAGUGUCUCCAGGGGAUUAGUACCAGGUUUUCCUCAGGGGAAGUGUUUCCAGGGAUUAGUACCAGUUUUUCCUCAGGGGGAAGUGUUCCAGGGGAUUAGUACCAGGUUUUCCUCAGGGGGAAGUGUCUCCAGGCGAUUAGUACCAGGUUUUCCUCAGGGGAAGUGUUUCCAGGGGAUUAGUACCAGGUUUUCCUCAGGGGGAAGUGUUUCCAGGGGAUUAGUACCAGGUUUUCCUCAGGGGGAAAGCGUUUCCAGGGAUUAGUACCAGGUUUUCCUCAGGGGGAAGCGUUUCCAGGGGAUUAGUACCAGUUUUCUCGCGGGGAAAGUUUCCAGGGAUUAGUACCAGGUAUUCCUCAGCUGUGUCCCUGCGGGGGAAAGCGUUUCCAGGGAUAGUACCAGGUUGAAUAACUUGUGGCUGGCUGAAGUCAGAGCAGAGAACACUCUCCAGACAGUCAUAUCUUAUAAAAUCACUCGCAGCUAACGGGCCUCAGCAGCUCUGAGGUCCUGGGUUGGGAUAGGGUAGGCUUCCACCUGAAACCGGGCCCGUACAGCAGACGCCAGGUGACGUCAGGAGCUCUGAGAUCCUGGGUUGGAUAGGUUAAGGCUUCCCACCUGAAACAGGGGCCCGUACAGCAGGCGCCAGGUGAAGUCAGGAGCUCUGAGAUCCUGGUUGGAUAGUUAGGUUCCCACCUGAAACAGGGGCCCGUACAGCAGGUCCCAGGUGACGUCAGGAGCUCUGAGAUCCUGGUUGGGAUAGGGUUAAGGCUUCCCACCUGAAACAGGGCCCGUACAGCAGGCGCAGGUGAAGUCAGGUACCAGGUACUCACAUCUGCUCUAUGAUCCUGGGCUAAGGUUAGGGUAUAAGGUCAUUACAGGAUUCCCAGUUGCUUCAUGACAGCAGGUACAGACCUGAGGACAUACUGGGGCUUCAGAUAGCAGGACAAGCAGGUACAGACCUGAGGACAACUGGGGCUUCAGAGCGACAGCAGGUACAGACCUGAGGACAUACUGGGGCUUCAGGACAGCAGGUACAGACCCGAGGACAUACUGGGCUUCAGGACAGCAGGUACAGACCCGAGGACAUACUGGGGCUUCAGUACAGCUGGUACAGACCUAAGGACAUACUGGGGCUUCAGACAGCAGGUACAGACCUGAGGACAUGCUGGGGCAGCUGUACCAGCUGCUUUUUUUCUGUCACGAGUCACUAGAGACCUAAGCAGUUCACAUAUGAAAAGACACCAAAACGAACAUGCAGCUAACUGAGAUCCUUCCAUUCUACUCUGCUGAUUGGGUCAGGGAGGGAGAAGAGAACUGGGAACAGUUUGGGAUCUCCAUUCUACUCUGAGGAGCAGGCAGAGGGUCCAUUCUACUCUGAUGGAGCAGACAGGAGGUCAUCAUCUGUGGGAGCAGACAGAGGGGUCCAUUCUACUCUGAUGGGAGCAGAGCAGGAGGGGUCCAUUCUACUCUGAUGGGGCAGAGCAGGAGGGGUCCAUUCUACUCUGAUGGGAGCAGAGCAGGAGGGGGUCCAUUCUACUCUGAUGGGAGCAGCAGGAGGGUCAUUCUACUCUGAGGAGCAGACAGGAGGGGUCCAUUCUACUCUGAUGGGAGCAGAGCAGGAGGGGGCCAUUCUACUCUGAUGGGAGCAGAACAGGAGGUCCAUUCUACUCUGAUGGGAGCAGACAGGAGGGGUCCAUUCUACUCUGAUGGAGCAGAACAGGAGUGGUCCAUUCUACUCUGAUGGGAGCAGACAGGCAGGGGUCCAUUCUACUCUGAUGGGAGCAGAACAGGAGGGUCCAUCUCACUCUGAUGGGAGCAGAGCAGGGGAUCAGAGAGGACUUGGGGGGCGGGGGUCCAUUCUACUCUGAUGGAGCAGACAGAGUGGUCCAUUCUACUCUGAUGGGAGCAGAGCAGGAGGGGUCCAUUCUACUCUGAUGGAGCGAGAGAGUGGUCCAUUCUACUCUGAUGGGAGCAAGAACAGGAGUGGCCAUUCU